GUGUGUUAUUCCUCUCAAAGAGUAAGUAUUACACCAGAUAGCAUAUACAGUAGCCUUUAAGAGCAUCUGGUAUACAGAGUAGCCUACAAUUACGCAUUGGCUUGGCAGCACAGUCUUGUGUUAUCCAGAGUUCUCAGUGUCAUACAAGGCAAUACAUGAGUCAAAUACCUUUUUGAAGGGAGAUACAGUCUUUAUUGUUACAAGCCGAGGGUAAAGCGUGUGUGUGUGUGAACAUUACUGAACCUGGACAGCAUGAGUAUCUCACCCCUUUCCUUUUCAGAUUCCUAAAAAGUAAGUUAUAUUCACUCACUGUAAUACACUUUGGAUGACAGUUAAAUUAUAUUAUAAUAUCCCUUCUAUUGAAAAAAAGUAAACAUUUUCUCUAAGUAGCCUACAUAAUAUCCUGAAAUGCACUUUUCACCUCCUGAAAUGCACUUUUCAUGUCAUCAGGGACAUGCCGUCAUCAGCAGAUCUAAGCGUUGAAAGCCCAAUCUUCUUUCAACAAUGUCUCAAAACGGGCUGCACCCACUCCACACCUGUUGUCGCCUUAGGAUGACACCAUAGAGAAGAAACUGAGUUUUGGAUUGAAGGAGAUGAUUCAGGAGAGUGAAAAAGAGGUGGAAAAGGGAAGGAGGAAAUGGAAAAGAAAAAGGAGGAGAGAGAAAGGAAGUACAUGGAGAAGAUGAGAGAGUGAGAAGGAUAAUGGAAGGCGGGGAGUAGAGAACAAAGGAAGAGAAAGAAGUAUAUGGAGAAGAGGAUGAAGAAGGAAAUGGAGCAGAGCAGAUGAGAGAGUGAGAAGGAUAAUGGAAGGCAGGGAGUAGAGAACAAAGGAAGAGAAAGAAGUACAUGGAGAAGAGGGUGAAGAAGGAAAUGGAGCAGAUGAGAGAGUGAGAAGGAUAAUGGAAGGCGGGGAGUAGAGAACAAAGGAAGAGAAGGAAGUAUAUGAGGAGGCAUUAAUGGAGCUGGAGAACGACCAAAAAAGACUGGAAAGUGUAAUACAGAAUCUGGGGGAUGUGAUGGACAGCGUAGCGAUGGCAAGCGAUUCCCCCAGAAAGAGCAAAGAGAGAGCAGGAGGACGAUAAAAUAAAUGCAGGAUGAGAGGAGGGAGUUGAAGACUUUUCAAGAAAAAGUGCAAGAAAACAGGAUGGAAAAUACAGAUUUCCAGAUAGAUUUCCUGACCUCAUCAAAGGGGAGUAGGAUGGAGGAGUGCAUGCACACACACACACACACACACACAAGCUAGUACUUUUCUAAAAUGUCUUAGUGAAAAACUCAAAUUCAAAUAAAGUCAUGCAAUGGCAAAGCGGUUGUGUUUUGGUCCUUAGUGUAAUGCCACCUUAGCUUUAGAGGUUAUAGUAAGGUAAGAAACACAGCAAAUUCCUCUAGGUAUUUGAAAUUAUAUCCAUUUAAUUUUGAUAUUAUGGAAUCUGGUUGGUUUCAAUCCAUAUCGCAGAAGUAUCACAGAAGAUCUGCAUUAUAGCUUGAUUGAAAUUUAAAGGCAAUUGUUACGGUAAACUCUGCAUAUGACGGCUCAAUUGGAAAUGACCUUUACAUUUUAACGCGGCUCUUCUGGGAUACGGAUUGAAUCCAGUCCUUAAACAGCAUAUGCUGAGGAGAGGAGAGGCCUUCCGCACCUUACAGUACAUAUGUUAUGCAGCACUUACUGUAGGCAAAAGCAAGAGUCAAAACAGUCAAUCUACCGUUACUGACAACACAGAUUCAAAGGCAUUGGGCGCUAAAAGCUAAAUAACAAUGCAUUUCAUUUACUAUUCCACUGAUGCAAAAUAAAGCAAUGUUUUCUUGUUGUUAGGGCAGACAUUUGUGCAGACUCAGACUGUUCUCAUAUUAUUACACUGUACAAUCAAGACCCUGAAAACCUAGAAGAGAUGAUGGAUUCAAAAAUAUAUAAUACAUUGUAAUGGUUUCAAAAUGGUUGUUUUUGUAAAUGAAUAGGCACAUCUGCAAGGCAACAAUAAAGAAACAAUUUAAAAUACUAAAACAACCCCCAAAAUGGCACCAAAUAUAACAGAAUGUC